AUGGACGAUGCGUGUUGCAGGAUCACAGAUAGUGCAGGCAUUGGUGGUAAUCUGCUUCUACUUUCUGUAUGGAGCUGGGAGCGUCUGCCUGUUGGACGCCCGAAGAGCGUCAGGUUUGAUCCUUGGUAUGCAGAUGAACAUGACGAAUUACGGCGCCCCACGUGGGCUUACAAGUGGGAUAUCGUUUCCGAGAUGACGAACGAUGUCAAUCUCAUGUACUAA
rnacentral:rRNA from 1 species